GGUAACCACUCCUCUCUCGCUCUUUCAAACGUUGCAUGCUCUUCCUCGGCUCCAUCAUCAACUUGCCCAAACCUUAAUCCCCAAAUGGCCUCCUCGCCGGACCACCAUCUCAACGGAGACCCCAAAACCCACAUCUCUAAAAAACCCAAACUUUCCCCCAAUUUCAUCACCGCGGCCGAAAUCGCCGCUGAAUUUUCCCACCAUGACCCGAACGUCGCCCGGAUCAACAACGGCAGUUUCGGCUCCUGCCCCGCCUCCGUCAUCGAAGCCCAGCAGCGGUGGCAGCUCAAAUACCUCGCCCAGCCCGACCAUUUCUACUUCAACGAGCUCAAGAAGGGCAUCCACCAAUCCAGAACCAUAAUCAAGGAGCUCAUCAAUGCAGACCACGUCGACGAGGUCUCAAUCGUCGACAAUGCCACCACCGCCGCCGCCAUCGUGCUUCAGCAGACGGCCUGGGGGUUUUCUGAGAGCAAAUUCGACAAAGGGGAUGCUGUGGUGAUGCUUCAUUACGCUUAUGGCGCCGUGAAGAAGUCGAUUGAGGCGUACGUGACGCGUGCCGGCGGGUAUGUGAUUGAAGUCCCUUUGCCUUUUCCUUUGAAAUCAAAUGAUGAAAUUAUCGCUGAAUUUAAGAAAGCUUUGGAGAGAGGGAAGGCUAAUGGUAGGAGGGUUAGGCUAGCUGUGAUUGAUCAUAUUACUUCAAUGCCAUGUGUGGUUAUACCUGUUGAAGAACUAGUUAAGAUUUGUAGGGAAGAGGAUGUUGACCAGAUUUUCGUAGAUGCUGCUCAUAGUAUCGGGUGUACUGAUGUCGAUAUGAAGCGAAUUGGGGCGGAUUAUUAUACUAGUAAUUUGCAUAAGUGGUACUUUUGCCCGCCGUCUAUUGCGUUUUUGCACUGUAGGAAGUCCCCCAAGUGUCCAGAGUUGCACCAUCCUGUUGUUUCUCAUGAGUAUGGUAAUGGGUUGGCUAUAGAAAGCGCUUGGAUUGGGACUCGGGAUUAUAGCCCUCAGUUGGUAGUGCCUUCGGUUUUGGAAUUCAUCAAUAGGUUUGAAGGCGGUAUUGAGGGCAUCAAGAAGAGGAAUCAUGAGACCGUUGUUGAGAUGGGGCAGAUGUUGGCCAAGGCAUGGGGAACGCAUCUCGGGUGCCCUCCGGAGAUGUGCGCCAGCAUGAUCAUGAUUGGGUUACCUGCUUGUUUGGGGAUCUUGAGUGAGAAGGAUACUCACAAGUUAAGGACACAUUUGAGGGAGAAGUUUGGUGUUGAAGUUCCCAUAUAUUUCCGACCACCCAAGAAUGGGGAGGUUGAGUCAAUAAGUGGGUAUUGUCGAAUUUCUCAUCAAGUGUACAACAAAGUUGACGACUAUUACAAGUUCAGAGACGCAAUUAAUCAACUUGUUUCUGAGGGGUUCACUUGUGCUCAACUUUCUAGCUGAUGAGUUAAAUCUUGUGAUGAAUCCAAGUGCUCUUACAACCAUUUCCAGAAGUUUUAUUAUGGUUAGCUGGCGUUUCUUGAUUCGGUGGUCGAGAUAUUUGUUUCAACUUGCCGUGGCCGUGGAAGUAGGUUACUCCGCCCACCUGCCCCCUUUAGAAUGUGGUGAUAUAGUCCAAUGAAGCACCGAAGAAGCUCUUUUGAUGAAUAACAUCCAUGGCUAUAUCUGCAUCGCCUGCAUGCCUCAGUAGAAGCAAAUGGUUUCGGUACCAUUAAUCCCUAAACUAGUAGAAAAAUAAACUGCUAAGUGCAUGUGUCGAAGCAGAAACAAAUUUCUUCAUGGUUUUUGGUGUUUUUGGUUUCCUGGACAUGUUAGCUGUCUGUUGAAUGCUGUCGGAAUUGUUGCUGUUGUAAAUGUUUAAUGACUGUAUCGAUA